AUCAUUUUAUCUACUAGAUAAAGAAUUAACCAUGUACUGACGGAUGGUACUAUCCCCGCACCCUUCCUGCAACCGGGCCCAGGUGUGCUGGCCAAGAAAAUAUGUUCUUUCUUCCAGUGACUGGAUGUAAAAUGAGCGAAAUGUUUCUUCGCAUGUACAUUACAGAUAUUUUCUCACCUUAUUUGGUCGAAUUUGCUGGAACACAAACCCUCGUUCAAACAAAGAGUCGUAUUUGAAGUUAUACGAGGAACAGUCGACAUCUGAGUGGCACUCUUGGAGGCAAGCCAUCCAGUCUUGUGUUUCGAUGCGUCGAAAUAUUUGUUUGGGCAUAAUAUGAUUGUAAACGGUUAAUGGAUAGAAAGCUACCAUUCCCGCGGGAAGUAUUGCAGCAAAGAAAGUAACGAGCAAAACACUUUUUCGGAAAGACGAACAAAGUGAUGUAAAGUCGACAAUUUCUUGCUGCAUCACGAAAUUUCUUCUUUGAAACUGAAUUUCUUUGGCAAUGUUCAGUAGUUGCUUGGACUUGGAUGGAGUCAACCGAUAAGUAUUCGUUCUCAGUGACUGUUUAAACCAGUUGAUGCGCUGUCUCUGGAUAAAUCGACUUAUUUCCCGAGUCAACAAAACAAAUAUUCAUUAAAUGGGAAUAAAUAGUUUGUACAGCUGCCUUGGUAAAGCAACCAGCGAAGUCUUCGCUUCAGUAGCAAACAUAGGCUCAAAAUUGCAUCCACUUAUUUUCCAGUUGUCAGGAUUGGAAAAGUAAGGCAUUAAUAUACGAUGUAUUGACAUAAGGGUAAUUUAAAUGAACAAAUAUCAUAGUUUUUAUAAUAAUGACUAUAUAUUCUUCCAGAGAAAUGUUUAAAGAAGUCCUUAAAUACUGCAUGUGUCAAAUGCAUCACAAGAACCUUGAAUGAUGUAAAUUAAACAAGAGGAUAAGCGAGAGAAAUUAACAAUAUUUUUCGUAAGAAUUUCUUUCAAAGUACAGCAUAAUUGCAGAAGAAUGGGAUUUGAAAAAAAAUACUGGUCAAAUAAUUAACCGAACGUGUCAAGUUUUAGCCUCCUUCGCAGCCGUUCUUAGGGUCGUCACGCAACGUUUCCCUCCUUCCCACGAGUUCAGUCGUAUUUUAGCCAAAAACCACCCUUUUUUGGGUAAAUAUUUCGCGUCCUCUUUAGCUUUAAACGAAAAUAAAAUACCAUAACUCACAA